rnacentral:pre_miRNA from 1 species
CAAGUACUCCCUUCGUCUGGAAUUACUUGUCAUCAAAAUGGAUGUGUCUAGAACUAAAAUACAUCUAGAUACAUCCAUUUCAAUGACAAGUAUUUCCGGGCGGAGGGAGUACAAG